rnacentral:rRNA from 1 species
AUUGAACGCUGGCGGCAGGCUUAACACAUGCAAGUCGAACGAGUGGCGGACGGGUGAGUAAUGCUUGGGAAUCUAGAUUAUGGAGGGGGAUAACUACGGUAAACUGUAGCUAAUACCGCGUACCAUAGGAUGAGCCCAAGUGGGAUUAGGUAGUUGGUGAGGUAAAGGCUCACCCAGCCGACGAUCUCUAGCUGGUCUGAGAGGAUGACCAGCCACACUGGGAAUGGGACACGGCCCAGACCCCUAAGGGAGGGAGCAGUGGGGAAUCUUACGCAAUGGACGAAAGGUUACGGAACAACGGCGCGUGAGUGAUGACGGCGUUCGGGUUGUAAAGCUCUGUUAAUCGGGAGACGGUACCGGAAUAGAAAGCCACGGCUAACUACGUGCCAGCAGCCGCGGUAAUAC